rnacentral:rRNA from 1 species
GACGAACGCUGGCGGCGUGCCUAAUACAUGCAAGUUGAGCGAUGAAGCUUGGUGCUUGCACCAAUUUGCAGAGCAGCGCACGGGUGAGUAACGCGUGGGGAAUCUGCCUUUGAGCGGGGGACAACAUUUGGAAACGAAUGCUAAUACCGCAUAACAACUUUAAACAUAAGUUUUAAGUUUGAAAGAUGCAAUUGCAUCACUCAAAGAUGAUCCCGCGUUGUAUUAGCUAGUUGGUGAGGUAAAGGCUCACCAAGGCGAUGAUACAUAGCCGACCUGAGAGGGUGAGCGGCCACAUUGGGACUGAGACACGGCCCAAAGUCCUACGGGAGGCAGCAGGAGGGAAUCGUCAGCCAGGGACGAAAGACUGACCGAGCAACGCCGCGUGAGUGAAGAAGGAUGUCGGAUCGUAAAACUCGGUUGGUAGAGAAGAACGUUGGUGAGAGUGGAAAGCUCAUCAAGUGACGGUAACUACCCAGAAAGGGACGGCUAACUACGUG